GACGAACGCUGGCGGCGUGCUUAACACAUGCAAGUCGAACGGAAAGGCCCUGCUUUUGUGGGGUGCUCGAGUGGCGAACGGGUGAGUAACACGUGAGUAACCUGCCCUUGACUUUGGGAUAACCUCAGGAAACUGGGGCUAAUACCGGAUAGGAGCUCCUGCUGCAUGGUGGGGGUUGGAAAGUCUCGGCGGGUGGGGAUGGACUCGCGGCUUAUGAGUUUGUUGGUGGGGUAGGGGCUUACCAAGGCUUUGACGGGUAGCCGGCCUGGGAGGGUGACCGGCGACAUGGGGACUGGGAGAGGGCCCAGAGUCGUACGGGAGGCAGCAGGGGGGAAUAUUGCACAGUGGGCGGAAGCCGGAUGCAGCAACGCCGGGUGCGGGAUGACGGCCUUCGGGUUGUAAACCGCUUUCGCCUGUGACGAAGCGUGAGUGACGGUAAUGGGUAAAGAAGCACCGGCUAACUACGUG
rnacentral:rRNA from 1 species